GAGGCGCUGGCGAUUGCAGGCACCUAUGUCCGCAAAAAGCAGGAUCCAUUCACUUCAGAGAAAGAAGUGCUCUCAACAGGCGUGGAGGAAGAAGUGCCCCUCAACAGGCGUGGAGGAAGCUUCUCUUGGGUUCUUUUCCCUUUUAUACUUUGGAUUCCAUUCAAGCCUUUUUCCAUCCCAGUGAGGUAAGAAUCCUGUCUUUUUCAGACUUAUAUUUAUUAUAUAUAUUCAAGCUUAGGAAAUAUCUGUCAUUUCUCGUUUUAAAACUUUCCUCUUUCCUGCUUAAAGUAGAACAGUGUCAUCAGCUUCUGAAGGUUAAUGCUGAGCAGUUUUCAUUGAUGAGGAUUCUGUGCCCGUGGUUCACCUGGAGGUGAUUCCAUGAACACACUUUCUUCAUAUGUGGAUUUAACAUGCCUUUUUUGAAGAAAGAAAAAUGGAGCUCCUAUGAACCAGUGUGUGAUGCGCUCGUGGACAGACUCGUUCUGAUUUCAGAGGCCACACGACUGGCAGGUGUGGGCUGGAGGCAGCAGCAUGUGCGUGUCUGUCUGUCCUGUGUGGAGCCAAAUCAUCACUGUCAGUGCCAGAAGCCUUCCAAAGCCCACUGCCGUGGGAUUGGUGUGUGUCCUGCUCCCGGCCGGAAGAAGCUGGCCCUGGAUCCGCCUGGCCCGGCUGCUCUGCGUCACCCCUUUGCUUGCUUCGGACAACAGUGGGUCUGGGGCUGCGGAGGCUCUCCGGGUGGCCUUAAGCUUGCUUUCUCCUAAACCUGUGCUGUUUGUCCUUGGCCAGCGGCUUUGGCAUCAGCCAGGGAGUGGGGGAAUGAGGUCAGAGCCAGCAGGAGUCCGGGCUGUGCGGGACAGCAGAGGUUGCGUCUUCCCAGAGCUGCAGGCAAAGGGACAGGAUGUGCCUGCUGUAUGCAGGGCGCGGCUCUGCUCGCCCUGGGCUGGGCCAGGGGUGCUGAGCGGGGCUGGAGCCGCAUUUUCUGUGGCGAGCUGUCCUGUCGGUGCUGUGCCGGGAUCACCAAGGGAGUCGGUCGGAGGCUGUCCGUGAGCUGGUGAGACAGCAAGCCAGGAAUCCAGCCGCAGGUGGGGAGAAAAUGCAGCUCAAACCGGUGGAGCUGCAAGGGGCCCACAGACCACCUUCAGACGCUGCAUGCGGCAGACGCUUCCCCAACCCCCGGGAGAGGGCUGGGCCUGGGGGCCUGGCGGGCCCUGCGCUCUUCCCUCAGGUCCUGUGCUCGGCAGAAGGACUUGCUCCUACCCUCCGAGGGGGCUACCUGCCGAAGCCGAGUUCAGCAGUCCCCGACGGUGGGCUUCUCCGCGCAGGCGGUGUGUGGGGGUGGGUGGAGUGUAGACCAGUUGUGAGUAAGGGCAGCACCCCCAGCCCCACGGGGCUGUCACAGCUCAGGCCCUGCAGAGCUGUGGGGUUUGGCUGGUGUGGGUGGCAACCCCUCCUGAGUGCCUGCUGCAGGCGGGCUCUGAGCCAGGGCUUUCCCUACAGCCACCUGGCCGUGGGUCACAGAUGCACACACCACAGCACCCGGCUGGGCACUGGGGUGACGCUGGGCUUGGCUUUGAGCUCCGUGCCUCUGUGCCCCAUAUGCCCCUCAGAGCUCUGGUGACAGUGCGGGGCCGCCUGCGUAGGACGCCCAGGGCUCCUUGAUCUUUUAGGAACUGUGGCACCCCCGAAGCUGUGAGAGGUGCAGAGGUGCUGCCGUCUUGGGCCAGGCCUCAUCUUCCUCCUUCUGCGUUCUGGCCCCGGCACCCAGUCCCAAGAGCACGGCGGCUGCGACUUGCUUCUGGCCAGGGCAGGUGGUGGUGUCAUACCCAGGAUGGGAACCCACACUUGAUGUCCUCCAGGGUUUUUUUACAUUAUCUUAAGGACUGACAGACUCCCACCCCAUCUGCUCCCACCUGUCCCUAAUUUCAUGCACCUCCGCCUGAGUUCCUGCACGCGUUUCCUGAAUAAACACACCCCUGUGCCAGUCAGAACCCGCGGGGGUUUUGGAAGUGGGAACCCAGCAAGGCAGCUGGCCAGGGGGCGGCCCUGCCUUCCGGGGAGCACCGGUGCCCAGGACUCUGCUUCUGAGACUGGCCUGUACGAUGAUUUUGUAUAAAUAUCUCCAGUUAGAACCUUUUAGUGUAUUUCUUAAUAUAACAAACUGGUGUCUUAAAAUACAAGACCAGCUGCCCAGCGAUCGGCACCAGAUGGAGCAGCGGGGCUCGCAGUGGCCGGGAUGCCUGACAGUGGAAUGCUGAGGCUGUGUUCCUGGACCCGAAACUCAGCUAGAGACUGGGUCCCUUGCAGAUUUGCAGGGACCGUCCAUCACUGGUGUGUAGAUGCAAAAACAAAACACUGGCACCACCCAGUCAGAACUGGCAGGGGCUGCCUGCACUGGGCACCAACCCUGCAGAUGGUCAGGCCCAGACCACGUGACUGCCUGCCGGGCUCCACCCCCAACCGCAGCCCAGCCAAGGCCGAGAGGGGGCUGCACUUCCGCCGAUCAGAGGUCCAGAUAGAGCUCCGUCUGCUUGAAGGGGUCGACUGCGUGACAUCGAGUUUCAUAAUCAGUGGGACACAUCUAUUUUUGCACGGUGUUUUACUUCACGUACCCUGGAAACCCUUCUCAUCGCGAGCUCUUCCCCUUGGUGCGUGAGUGGCCAAGCACCGGCCCUGCAGGGCAGCACUGUCGCUCUCUCGAGUCU